rnacentral:rRNA from 1 species
AACGCGAAGAACCUUACCAGCCCUUGACAUCCCGGUCGCGGACUCCAGAGACGGAGUUCUUCAGUUCGGCUGGACCGGAGACAGGUGCUGCAUGGCUGUCGUCAGCUCGUGUCGUGAGAUGUUGAGUUAAGUCCCGCAACGAGCGCAACCCUUAUCGUUAGUUGCCAACAGGUAAAGCUGGGAACUCUAGCGAGACUGCCUGGGUUAACCAGGAGGAAGGUGAGGAUGACGUCAAGUCCGCAUGGCCCUUAUGUCUGGGGCUACACACGUGCUACAAUGGCCGGUACAGAAGGCAGCGAAGCCGCGAGGCGAAGCAAAUCCCAAAAGCCGGCCCCAGUUCAGAUUGCAGUCUGCAACUCGACUGCAUGAAGCUGGAAUCGCUAGUAAUGGCGUAUCAGAUCGACGCCGUGAAUACGUUCCCGGGCCUUGUACACACCGACGCGUA